AGAAUCAACGCUGGCGGCGUGCCUAACACAUGCAAGUCGAACGAGAAAGGGUAGCAAUACCUGAGUAAAGUGGCGCACGGGUGAGUAACACGUGACUAACCUACCUUUUAGUGGGGGAUAACCUAGGGAAACCUGGGCUAAUACCGCAUAAUACCUACGGGUCAAAGCAGCAAUGCGCUGAAUGAGGGGGUCGCGGCCGAUUAGCUAGUUGGCGGGGUAAUGGCCCACCAAGGCGAUGAUCGGUA
rnacentral:rRNA from 1 species